rnacentral:rRNA from 1 species
AUGAACGCUGGCGGCGUGCCUAAUACCUGCAAGUCGAGCGAACGGACGAGAAGCUUGCUUCUCUGAUGUUAGCGGCGGACGGGUGAGUAACACGUGGAUAACCUACCUAUAAGACUGGGAUAACUUCGGGAAACCGGAGCUAAUACCGGAUAAUAUUUUGAACCGCAUGGUUCAAAAGUGAAAGACGGUCUUGCUGUCACUUAUAGAUGGAUCCGCGCUGCAUUAGCUAGUUGGUAAGGUAACGGCUUACCAAGGCAACGAUGCAUAGCCGACCUGAGAGGGUGAUCGGCCACACUGGAACUGAGACACGGUCCAGACUCCUACGGGAGGCAGCAGUAGGGAAUCUUCUGCAAUGGGCGAAAGCCUGACGGAGCAACGCCGCGUGAGUGAUGAAGGUCUUCGGAUCGUAAAACUCUGUUAUUAGGGAAGAACAUAUGUGUAAGUAACUGUGCACAUCUUGACGGUACCUAAUCAGAGAGCCACGGCUAACUACGUG